rnacentral:rRNA from 1 species
UUCCGCAUGGUGAACUAUUAAAGAAUUUCGGUCAUCGAUGGGGAUGCGUUCCAUUAGGUUGUUGGCGGGGUAACGGCCCACCAAGCCUUCGAUGGAUAGGGGUUCUGAGAGGAAGGUCCCCCACAUUGGAACUGAGACACGGUCCAAACUCCUACGGGAGGCAGCAUG